UACGAAGGGGGCUAGCGUUGUUCGGAUUUACUGGGCGUAAAGCGCGCGUAGGCGGACCUGCAAGUCGGGGGUGAAAGCCCGAGGCUCAACCUCGGAACUGCCUUCGAUACUGCGGGUCUCGAGUCCGGGAGAGGUGAGUGGAAUUCCUAGUGUAGAGGUGAAAUGCGCAGAUAUCAGGAAGAACACCCGUGGCUAAGGCGGCUCUCUAGUACGGUACUGACGCUGAGACGCGAAAGCGUGGGGAGCGAACAGG
rnacentral:rRNA from 1 species